ACCAAACUCUAUGCAUGAAAUGUUUCUUUGGUACCAUUUCUGGACUAACUCCUGCUAACGCAGGUCUGGGUCCGGGCGGGGAGGAGUUUUAAAAAGUACUAAAUAUACUGAAUCAGAUUUGAUUUGGUUUGAUUUCACCCUUAGGAGCUUAACUCUUGUGCUUUUCAGGAAAGUUUAUGCCUAACCUUAAAAGAUGUUGAGAAGCCAAGGUCCCUAACAUUCAAUGCUGAGCUGUAAGGCUAAAACUUCAAAGUUCUCAGAACAAAAGGGUUGGAGGCAGCCUGACUCUCCAUUGAAUGCAUGAGUUUAAUAUGGCACGGUGUAGGAAUACCGCGCAUAUAAAGGAAGCAAUUACUUAAAAUAUAUUUGAGUAAAGUAACCAUUAAAAUACUCUUGCAUAUUCGCCAUAGCUUACAAAGAUUAAAACAAAAACGGUUAUAAAAAAGAAAAAAGAAAACGUGCCAAGCCCACUUCCUGUAAGUGGGCGGGGAGUGGAGAGAUUGGUAAUCCAGUGCCAGUUUAUACUGUAAUAGGUAGCUGAAUGUAAAGUGAUGUUUGGGGUGCACUUUCCAUAAAAUAAAGUCACUUGUUAAUAGAAGGAAGGGGGAUCAGCACUACCAGCCAGGCUCUCUGCCCGGUAGUGGGUAGCACCUAGGCAACAAACUUCACUGCCUCUCCCUAGCUCCAUGGGGCUCACUAUCUAGGGGGCAGGUAACACUUAAGAAUAUAGAUAUUUAUUUAAGACAAACUGCGCAGUAGUGUGGCAAGGACAUCCAAAGUUAAGAAGUUGUAGCCCAGAAGCUGAGCCUUGGGGCAAAUCAGUUUACCUCUCUGGACUUCAGAGUCCUCAUCAAGGAUUAGGGAACUGUUUCAAUAUUAAUAUUAGUUAAUUCUCAGCAGUACCAAAUUCCAGGUUGAGAUUGAGGACUUGAACGGAUGCUUAUUAUUAUUUUUCCUAGAGGAAUAUAUUCAUAUUACUAAAAUUGUACUCAUCUUUGGAAUACUCUUCUCUGGGAGCCAGAAACAAGAGGUCUUUGGGGACUGUGCUCUAUUCUGCAGGCAGGAGUAGCCACUGGAGGUUUUACAACUCUGACCUCCCUGCCAUCAUGCAGAAGUAGGAAUUUCGACUGUAAGUCUGGAGGUGUAGUGCAGGCCCUUCAAGAAACAGAUGUCAGGUACCUCUGUGCUUUUUCCAAAGUGGAAAUUCCAGUUCUGGACAGUCUGACCCUUUCAGAGGUUUACCAGCUAAUCAUCAAGGCCAACAGAGAAAGGGGCUGCGAAUGAAUUUAAUAUAAACAGCAAAGUUCUCUAAAAUACACAAGACCUGCCGGCUAUGUGUCUUUCUGUACUUCUAUGUGCGUGGUACAUUUCCGACAGACCAGGAGGUGGUUUUAUGGAGUUGUAAGGGCGGAGAGGAGAAUUCUUCUUUGGAGAAUCUGGGUUUGCUUUUUCUUUGAGAGCAAAAAUAAAUGUUCACAUUCUUCUGAUAAAGUAAGACCCUUAAAAUGUCCUGGUUUAGAGUGGCACCUGAUUAAUUGAGGAGUGAAAAGCCUGAGAAAGUUUAAUAUUAAAGUAUAUAUCUGCUUGGAAUAAUAAUGAAACAGUUUGCCUCCUGGAGUCAGUCUGCUAGUUUCUUGACAUCAGUGUCCUAUAGAAUCGAGUUAAGAUUCAAAAGAUGGGAGGAGGGAGUUGUUCCGGUCGGUUUUGUUUUGGUCUAAGGAAUGCAGUUGCUCUGUCACAGUCUUGUUUUAACUGAGUGAGAUAAAUCAGUUCUAUAAACCUGAAUACUGAUUCAUUUAUUUUUCUUGAGUUACUGUCACGUAAAUAUAGAUUACAAUUAAAAAUAGAUUUGAGUGUCCAUAUGUUGGCUGAUUGUUAUUAUGCAAAACAUUAUUAUAGCUGAGUUCCUUGUAGUUAAAACACUACAAAAAGUUGUUCACGUAUUAACAUGCCUGCUUUUCACUUAGGUUAAAGUAAGUUUUUAACCAGGAUUAAGAAGUUUAAGGGAACUCUAGUGAUUCCUAUAGAAGUCACCUUAUGCGGUCUGAGCAUUCUAAGAAUGAUACAAAUGUUGAGUUUCUGUAGAAAGCUGAUAUUAAACUUUUUCCUCUUGUAUUUAUUAAAAUCACUGUAACCUUGAGGUCCAGGGCAUUUCCUGGGGAUUAAUGACCGGCUGGGGUUAGUGGCCCAAGGCACUGCUUUAGGCAGUCACCUCCUCUUGGCUGGUCAUUAAUCUUCAGGAAAUGCUGUUAGGUCAUUAAUCUUCAGGAAAUGUAUGCCUUCAGCUUCAGUCACUAUUACUUAAUUAUGAACACAGGCUAUCUAACCUUAAUAUUGGCCAGACUCCUCAAGUGGUAUUGCAAGAACUCCACCGUUGACCAUCUUAUUCUAGACUUCUUGAGAAUACUCACACCCCGAUGCUUUGAUUCUCUUCUAACGUUGCAAGUUUCUCAACAAACCAAGACCCUAGAACUUUAAAUGCAUUUACUCUUUUUACUUCUUGAGAGUGUUCAUAAGUGGGUCAUUGAAAAAUGAAUGCAUCCAAGGAUUAACAAUCAUGGAAUUUGUGAUUUUUACUCACGUGAAGUUCCUGAUUUUUGUUGGUUUUGUGGGGUGGGGAGGGGUUAUGGUAGCGGUUGUGAUGGUUGCUUUAAGAAGUUCACUCUAAUUCCCUGGAAUGGCUGUGGUAAAAGCAAAGGGUAGUUUCCAUCUCCCCUCCUCCUGCAUAGCUGUUGUGAUCUAAGAUGAUCCACUUACUGGUGCGGCUUCUUAGUGCUCAUGGAGAUCACAUGGUACAUUUUAAAAGGCUUAGUUUAGCACAGCCCCUCCUACAUUUUCAUAGCUGUUCUCUUUACAUGAAAAUACAGCAUUCUUCCUGCCUCAGAGAACAGUUCCUCUGCUUAGAUAGAUGAUAGAGAUUUGUAACUUUAGUCUUUUUUAUUUGCACACAACAUAGUAAGGUUUAUAUUCUAAAUGUCAUAGUUUUGUUGCUAAAGCUUUUAUAGACUGUGUCUCUCUCCAGUACCAAAGAUGUGAGCAUUAGCUCCCUAAAAGACAUACUCAGGCACCUUUGUGAGCUUGUGACAAAGGUGUCUUCAGUUGCACGUGUUUGACUUUAACCCAUAUUACUUCUAGAAAUACUUUUCAGGAAUUCUGCAAGUAGGAAAUAGAGUAGUGGAAAGAGUCUGGAGCUGGUGGUGCACAUCCUCCGUGUCUGUUUCAUUGACUUCACUAGGAGCCAGUCACACCUUAUAGUGUCCCAGCGGAAAAGGAGAGCAGCCUGUCUGUGGGGCACAUGCAGUUGUUCCUGACCUUGCCUUUGAGAAGUCAGAUGUUGUUAGCACUGGGAAACCAGCUUUCAUUCAGGUGCUUAGUGUGGGAAGGGAGAAGGGAUAUUCAAUCUGUCUGAUUAAUAGAAAAAACAAACAAACACAAGCAUUUUAUGCAUUAUUGAAAAAAUCGCCAGUCUUAUUUUUAAUUUAGGAGGGCUACUCUUUUAAAGAGAGAAUCCAUCAAACUUCAAUAAACGUGAAGGGAGUCAUGGGUUUAACAGCCAGAGCAACUGUAACAAGUCUUUUUUGUAAUGGUUAUCUGGAGCUAUUAGGAUUAACUGCCUUGUUUAAAUCAGGAUAUUUCCCUGAUUUUUAAUGUUAGCUGUGGCUGCCUUCCUUUUUUCUACUAUAGGAGUAGUUGCUCUCCCAUUCAGAUUGGUGGAAAAAGUAAAUGUCAGUAACAUUAAGUGUGUAACUUUUUUCAUUCAUUCAGGAAGCAGUUAUUGAGCACCUACUAUUUUGGCUUUGGUACCAGGAAUCUUUAUAAAUUAAUCCAUUUUCCGCUUGGCAAGUAGUUGCAUUGGCAAGAUUUUGGCCUCAUGAAGUAUUAAAACCAGAUCAAAAUAAGGAAAGUUAAAAGGUGAUAUACUUAAUGGUUUGCAGCAGUCAUUUUGGGAAAGAAAUCUGUAUUCUUAACUCUUGCGUGUUAUUAUUGCAAUCAUUAUGCAAAUGAAGUGUUCUAAAUUGCUGUAAACCCACAUGUAUGUCAGCUCACUAUCUAUUAAAUCUGACCCAGGAAACAGGAAGAGAAGUAUUUGCUGCCAAAUGAGAAAGUGGUUACCAUUCAUUUAAAACUUAAAUCCUUUGGGGCGCCUGCGUGGCUCAGUCGGUUGAGCGUCCGACUUUGGCUCAGGUCAUGAUCUCACAGCUCGUGAGUUCGAGCCCCGCGUCGGGCUCUGUGCUGACAGCUCAGAGCCUGGAGCCUGCUUCUGCUUCUGUGUCUCCCUCUCUCUCUGCCCCUAACCCCCUCGCAUUCUGUCUCUGUCUCUGUCAAAAAUAAAUACACAUUUAAAAAAAAAUUAGAAAAAAAACAACAAAAAAAAUUUAAAUCCUUGAAUCAUCUUGAUUUUAGAAUCUGGCUCCCCAAACAAAUGUUACCUAACAGGCCACCCUCUUGUCACUGCAGGUAAGAGUCCCUUUUUCUAAUAGGACUGCUUGUUGUAUGUGAGACUGUUUAAAGCUGGCUCUGCCUUGGCCCAGGCCAGUCAAAACUCCAAUUAUUUAAUAGAAAGUUAAGUUUCAGGUUACCUUGUGGCAUCUUAGCUGCCAUUUCAAAAGCAGAAUUAAUGCAGGAAUUGAGACGUGGUUCCCCUGUGUUGCAAAUCUUGGGAACAAACCUAUAGGCUGGCAAUCUGUGGGUUUGUCACAUGCUAGAACUUUAUUUGUUGAGCCUAUUUUUACCUCUCUUGAUUGAUCCUUCACUGUAUUAUACUAGUUAAUCAGGAUGCCUUUCUAAAGACUUCUCUGGAGAAUUUAGAUAGGGUGAAGGUGGAGGAAAUUAGUUGGUCCAGAAGGGUGUAUCAACUGACCUUGAUAAACUAAACUGAGAGAAAACGUAGAUUUCAGAUUUGAAACAUUGCAUGCGCAAACUUUUUUAGGCACCACUAGUGGUGUUCCAAAGACCCUGAAUUCAGUUCAAGAACCUCCUUUUACCUGCUAAGUGCUACCUCCAGGAGCAGGAUUUGGCCUUUGCCCUCAGUCCUCCGUGGCGGGUGGGCAAGCUAGUGGGCUUCAAACUGGAGUGAUUGCUUGAGACAUGGACACCACGGUGGAAGCAGAUGAACUUUUAAAUUUUAGGUUCCGUAAAAUUUUAGACUCUAAAUUUUUCAGAUUUGUAAAAUUUUCUCUUUGCCUGCUAUUCCUCAAGAGACGAUGGGCUGUGAAUGGUGUUGAGUUUUUAGAACAGGGAAUGAGCAUAAUCUAGAAACAGAGUGUUUAAGCCAGUUGAGAUCCCUCAUCACAGCAAGGGCUGUAUUUCCUACCACCCAUGGCUUUAAACUAGACAGCAGACCACAGUGUAUCCACUGUACUACAGAAGACCAAACCUAAUUAGACACGUUUUAGGUUUUCAGCAAUUCUCCCGUCCUUCUGGUCAACUUCCUUUACAGUCAGACUUCCUGUCAGCUUGGAGUUUAACAACCUGACGGAGCCAUGUUUUUAAUUUAAUUUAGUUUAGUUUAAUUUAAUUUAAUUUUACUUAUUUGUUUUUUACUUAUAUCCUAUCCUAAACUCGGUCCAAGCCUGGGAUAACCGAAUUUUCAAGAACAACAAAGUGGGAGAUCUCUUACAGGACUGUAAACAGUCCAGAGCACCUGAACUCUCAUCGGGAGUUUUUGUCACAGCAGUUUGCUCUGCUUUGGGAACCGCAGUGGGAACUUCCUUCUUCUGGAAACCCACUGUAUUCUGAGAUCUGUGAUUCCUGUUUAGUGACUACAAACAAUUGGGCUCCUACUGGCUGUCCAGGCAGUGAGUUUGGUUGUGUUUCAUAUGGGGCGGGGGGCCGGGGGGGGGGGUGGCAGGGAAGUCCUAAAGCAUACUCCUCAUACUGGGGGAGAAGUGUGAGGAUGGCAGAGGGCUCCCAAGUUGUUUGAGUUCAUGUGUAUAACCCUGGAAAGCUGAGGGACUUGGGGAGACCUUGAAGGAGAGGAUUCCCACAUCACCAGAUGGGUUCUGUGCCUCCCACCCUUCUGCCCCGGCCUGCCCCAAGGUAGACAUUUGAAAAUCCCCUUUAUCUUGCAAACCUUUCCUGGGAGGAUCCAGCCUCAUUCACACCUUGAAUUCCUGCUUUCCCCUGAUCUCCUGGCAGUGAACCCUGGAAGAUGGGCGUUUUGAUCCCAUCUGGGAGGAAGGAGGUACCUGCUACCUGAAAGGGCUGACAGAUUUAAGAGAGUGUUAGGUUGUAGGCUUCUAGGAAAAGAGGAGAGGAAUUCAGAAAGGAGUGCUCAAGGAUGGCAGAGAUAAAUGGCGCUUCCUUUGUGAGUAAUGUCACAAAUUGGAAUGUCAGGAUUAGUUUGGAAGCUUUUAAUCAUUAUUUUCUAGUUUUACUCUGUGUCUCCAGCUCAGUCAGGUGCCUCACCAUUCGGCACCAAUCUUUCCUCUCAAUCCAAGGAAAAGGGAACUAUUAUUUAUAGCACCCAUCUCUUUUGGGUGCUUUCCACCACGUGUCAGGGACCAAGCUAGUAGAUACACUAUAGAUAUAUAUGUAUAUUCAUUUGGUAUUUGUAAUACAUCCCCCCAUAUAGACAGCAUGGUCAUGGAUAAAUACAUUUAUAUAGAUAUAAAUAUACACAUAAUCUGUAUAUAAACUUGAUCCAUGAGAAAAUUGUCCAUUUUGCUAUUGUAGUCAAAGAAAAAAGCGUUUAAGGCACGUUUCUUGAGCUUGUGGAUUAGUUACGAUACUUGAACUUGCUAUGUUUUUUCCCAUGUAGUUUGAAGGACUAUAACUUAGAAGUGAGAAGUGUUCCCAGCCUUCUAGCUGUUCCCAGCCUCCUAGAUGUUCUAGGUCAGCGAUUGGGUAUGAUCCAGGCAGGAGUGAAUGAGGGGCGGGCUCUGGCCAUGGAGGUCUCAUUCUGUUGGGCUGCAGUCUGCGGAGACCAAGGAGGCCACAUCCUCUGACUGAUUUUGUAGUUAUGAAGUGGAAUGUAAUUAAUAAUGACUAACAUGCACCAAGGGCUUUACAGUGCUCUUCCGACUGGCAGUAGACCAACCCAGGGAGUUAUUUCCAUUUUAUGAAGGAGGAGACUAAGGUCUAACUAACCUUAGUUGGCUAACUUGGUUAAGGUUUAACAACUGAUAGGUAAUAUGCCUGGAUUUGGAUCCAGGCCUGUUUGAUUCAAGAGUCUCUGCUUUUAAAACAUUUUUUUUUAAGUUUAUUUAUUUUGAGAGAGAGUGUGUGAGCAGAGGAGGGGCAGAGAAAGAGAGAGAGAGAGAGAGAGAGAGAGAAUCCCAAGCAGGCUCUGAGUUGUCAGCGCAGAGCCUGAUGCAGGGCUUGAACUCACAAACCAUGAGAUCAUGACCUGAGCCAAAACCAAGAGUUGGGCUCUUACCCAAGUGAGCCACCCAGGCAUCCCCAGAGUCUCUGUUUACAUCCAGUCUAUUGAUUUCCAAAAUUCUUACCAACUGUUCAAAUAGAAAAAUCCAGCCAAUGAAGGGAAGGUGAUGUAACAUUGGAUUCUUAUCACUACCUUAGGUGCUUUCCCAGGCCAAUUUACGAAGAGGGAACUUGUUAUAGUCAAACAGAAAUAAAUAAAAGGCAGAGAGCACAAAAUACUAUUUCCAGUGAGUUCAUGCUUCUGCUUUGCUGUAUGGGGUCCCCCGACCAUUGGUAGAUUCUGGGACUGUAACAGCCUCUUUUGAGAAGCCCUGUCACUUAGCAGGUAAGAACAGAUGCCAGUGCCAGAUCCCCCGGACCAGAUGUCCACUCCGCUCCCAGUCUCCCUAUGUUCCAGUUUCCUCCUUGGUCAGUGGGGAUGGUGGUCACACCUACCUUGCAGGGUCACCAGUAUUAGGUGAAUUACUGUACGAAAAGUGCCUAAAGCCUGAGCACUCAAGGAACAUUUACUAUCGUUUUAUUACCUUAGCACAGAAUCUCUUACAUUUGAAGAACUGCUGAUCUGGAUGUUAAAGUCUCAGGCUUCAGUUUUCUCUUGUAAAUAGCUUGUCGGGGUGCUGUGUGUGGGGUCUCUGCUGUUUCUUCUUCAGGGGCGUGCCUGGACUCCGGCCAGUAGCAGUUCCUCUGGUCUCCUAGUAGAUAGGAAGUCUCCAGGUGGCCUCUUGCAUGCCUGACUGGCUCAGUCAGAGGAGCCUGUGCGACUCUUGAACUUGAGGUUGUGAGUUCAAGCCCCACGUGGAGUGUAGAGAUUACUUAAAUAAAUAAAACUUAAAAACAAAAAACCCAUCACAUCCAUGUGGAUGCUUUACCCCUAAAGCCUGUUUUUCUCUCCUCUGCUUUUCUUUUAAGAUUUGCGUUUGCUGUGGCUCCAGGCGGGAUUGAUCUCUACACCUUGUCGGUAUAUUCCGCAGACUGCUCCCAUUUCUCUUUACAAAAGACUUGGAAAUUUUCAAGCGCUAAAGAGGGUAGCAGAGAGCACUCUGCGGGGCAUAAUUGAUGCCCAGACUCCAUCAGAUUUGCAAAAGUUGGCCUAGGGGUGCUCACUGGGGCUUUUUUACAAGAGAUUAAAUUUUAUCAAAACGGUUUGGGAUUCUGGGAGUGGUCAUCAUACUGGAGUUCUUAACGGUGUUAGGAGGGUCAUUAUAGCAAUGACUUUCAGCGUUCCAGAAACAGGGCCUAUAAUUUGGCUAGUUCCUAUGUUAUGGCAUUUGCAUUUCCUUAAUGCAUAAUUGGACUAUAAUUUUCUAAAACUUGACUUCUGUCUUGGAGAUUCUAUAUAUCAGUAGACAUUCCACUUAAAGUUGAGGUGUACAAAUACAUGUUUUGAGCAGACUGCAAAAUCAGAGUAAUUGGUGGUUUGAUGCGGUGUUGCUGACCAAAUAAUGACCUCUUGUGAUUUGUUUUAAGUUUGACAAAGUGCUCUUAUAAAAUAGAAAUGAUUGAUAUGAUGAUGCAGGGAUUCAUUACCCCUAAUUUAGUUUGCCCUUCAAUUACUCACAGUAUUCAGCCACCAUAGUCCUUACAGGGAUAAGUUUGUGGGCUUUUAGAAUUAUAUUAAUUCUGUUAAUUAAUACAUACAAUUAAUCUAUUAAUUUUAUUAAGCCAGCUCGUAUGAAAUGUUGGCUUCUGUUUUAUGACAUUCUCUCUGACAAAACUAAAUAGAUUUUAGAUAGUUUCUUCUAUUGUGAACAAGCAUCUCAUUGUUUUUUACUCCAGAAAAAAAAAAAAAGACUUGUAGGAUGUUUAUUUUUCAGUGGAUUGAGGUAGCAGUUUAAAAUCCUAUUGCUGUAGAAACACACAGAACCAAAUAAAAAUAUAAUAAGACUAUGACAGAACUGAGUAAGGUAGCUUCAUUUUCCUUUCCUUACUCGGUGUUCAUUCACGUGUUAGUUUUUUAUAAUUAGUGGUAGGAUCUUCAUAAAACUGGUGAUUUCACUGUUUUCUGGAUCAUUUUAUUAGGGGAAGGAGAAAUGAUCAAAUGAUCUCUCCUCUGCUUUUCUUUAAGCUUUAACCAACUGAGCCACCCAGGCGCCCCCAGAAUCUCUGCUUUAAAUUCAUAGUCUGCUGAUUCCAAAAUUCUUACCAACUGUUCAAGGCUUUUUCCACUUGCUUUUUUUCUUUUUUUCUUUUUUUUUUUUUUACACUUACAAAGAGGAUCAUGAGAUCAUAGAUCCUUUCCCUCUGUUUAACUGUCAUCUCAAGUGAUAAGGUUUGGAACCACCUGUGGGGAUAUGAAUGAUCUAAGAAGAGAAAAGUCAAGGUGAGGGAGCAUGCUAUACAGAAAAAACUCUCAAAAUCAAAUUUAUUUAUAAAAGCAUUUAUUGAGCACUUAUUGUUUGCAAGGUGGGAAUUUGGAGGUAAGGAAUAACUCAGAAAUAGUUAAGAGAAGAUACUGGAGAACUAGAAAGGCAAUACCUAGGUAAAGUCAAAAGGAGGACUAGUUGAUGAGGAAGAGGGUCUUGCCUUAAUGACUAUUCACAAGUAAACCCUGGAGAGUAAAUCGUGUGUCUUACUGUCUAAGAAGUGGGACUGAAGGUGGCCUAACCAAACUGAAAGCGUGAACAUUUAAAUCUUAAAAAUGUAUAAGGAGAAUAUGAAAACUUGGAGAAAAUAAAAUCUUGUCAAAAUGUAAGCCUUUUCUUUGCUAUCACAUUGAGACCUCUUGUGAAAGCCUUCGUACAUGGCUAAAUUUUAGAUGUCCCAGCACGAAGGAAAGGUGCCACGUUUUGCCACGCAUCAGCCCCUCCAAGUGUUCACCCAGUUGUUCAAGCAUGUAUUUUAAGGUUGAGUAUUCCAGCAGUAACCCAAAGAAAUUCAGAACUGAUACUUUGCCACAGUUUGCUUUUAAUGACAACUUUUGCUGUCACUAGAAGCCUGGCUCCUUUGGUGCCCGGCAUUAUUUCUUUCACAUCUCGGGGACUGUGGGACCACACUGUGAAUAGCGUUAUACUAAGGUGCACGUGAAUUGUGCUUUACUGUUUGCGAAGGGCACUUCGUUCUAAGGAAGCUGUAUACGGCUUCGAGUGGGUACAGUGUCGAGUGGGUACAGGGUUAGAUAGAUGGUGGGGACACAGAUAAAGUCCUUGUAUUUGGAGGACUCGUAGUCUUGUGGAGGAGGUAGACAAGGAACAUGAAGAAUAAACCCCAGUUGUGGGUUAUGUCCUGUGAUUCUCUGUGUACACGUGCAAGCUGACAGGAGAGGAUAGGAGUGGUCAUUGUGCCCAUUCUGGAAAUAAGAGAAACCCUCAGAGAACUUAGGCAGUUUCUCAAGUUCACCUCCCAACAGAGGAGCAAAGUUAAAGUUCUGUUUCCAACUCUAGGUAUAGGCCUCUUCUACAAUGGUACUUUUUUAGCCUUAAUUUUUUUAAUGUUUGUUUAUAUUUUUGAGAGACAGAGAGAGAGUAUGAGCAGGGGAAGGGCAGAGAGAGAGUGACACAGAGAAUCCCCAGUAGGCUCCAGGCUCUGAGCUGUCAGCAAAGAGCCCAACGCGGGGCUCGAACUCACCAGCAGUGAGAUCAUGACCUGAGCCGAAGUCGGACGCUUAACUGACUGAGCCACCUGGGCGCCCCUGAAAACUAAAAGAAUCUUAAUGUGAUUUUGUGCUUUUGGAGUUGCAGGAAAAUAAAAAGGAACAUUCUGGAUUAGGGUGAAAUAGAAUGGCUCCGUCUUCCAAAUGUCAGCACACUCUCUAGAUGACAGUGGCCGAAAGCUGUAGUUGAAUGAUUGACUUGGGGGUCUUCCGAGGAGCCCUUUGUGCAGCGGUGGAGGGCCGGCGGCUGCUCAUCAGGUCUGACGCUCACUGGGGCCAGGGCGCGGGCUCUGUGACCUCCUUCACUGUUCUCUGUGGAGGUUGACUUGCCCCCCAAGGCCUUCAGUCUUUCCCACUUCACUCGGAGCACUUAAUUAAAAGAAAAAGUGAGCCCAGUUCUGAUGCAGAGUUAUGACUAGUAAAAAGAACCAAUAAAAAUGACUAUAAAGGGCCUGACAAAUAGAAAAUGUUUAAUAAUACUAAGGCGCUUUAUGGAGCAAGGGUUUACCUCUUGGCACAGGAUGACAGGCGUUCCUGCAGAGGCUUUUCCCUCGCUGCUGCUCUUGGCAGGCAGUUCUUGCCGGGCUGGAACAGGCGAGGGAGACGGGUUCUGUCAGCCUGGGGUCACCUGACUUCUUACUGCAAGAAGAUCGCAGGGAAGUGACAGCCCGCUGACAUGUGGCCCUUUUGUUGGUGACAACAGAUAACAUGAGGGAUAAAGGACACUUAGGUGACCCAGGAGCAAAAAGGAAAACAAGAAUGGGACACAGAAAAAGGAAAAAAAAAGGGAAGGGAAGGGAAGGGCUAAGGAACCUGCAGUCUUACAGGAAGUUUGGGGCAGAACUGACAUUCUCUAUCAGUUCCAAUUAGACUUACCAAAGAAUAGACCAAGUUAGAGUUAGGAGAAUAACUAUCCUGAAUGGCCUUGGGAAAGUUACUUAGUUUCUCAACUGUUAGAGGGGUAAUACUGUUGUGAGUAGUAAAAGCCCAUGGUAUGUACUCAAUAACUGAUAACUUUGUUUAAAAAAAUUCUGUUGGUUAGAGAUUAUUGGAAAAGUAGAAGGAUGGCAAUAAUUUACAGCUGAUCCUCGAUAUUCUCUUAAUUUUUAAUUUUUUGAAGAUUUCAUUUUUUAAGUAAUCUCUAUGCCCAUUGUGGGGCUUGAACUUACAACCUGAGGGUCAGGAGUCACAUGCCCUACCAACUGAGUCCGCUAGGUGCCCCCUCAAUAUUCUCUUUUAAAGCUAAGACAGAGGAUCCAAAAAAAAAAUCACAAAGUAUUUAUAAACACAGGUGAAAGGAUGCAAACACGCAAAAAACCCAGUUGGAGAACCCACAUCUGUGCUAGGAAUAAAAUAAUGAUCAUCAAAAUCAUAAAAAUGAAUCAUGAAAACUAUAAAGUUCAAGGAGAGAUAGAUACUAAAUUCUAGAUAUCCCUGUUUGAGCCAGUGUGUAACUCACUAAAAUGUAAACAUAAAAUUAAACUUUCAAUCUUUUAUUCUCUUUUCAUUUAUAUCAUGAAGAAGAUAAUUUAAAUAUACUUUGUAUAAUAUGUCUAAAGGAUUAAUUUUGGACUAACUUUCAAGUAGGUUUUAAACAGAAAAGUUGAAAUGAGUUGUAAGUAUUGGCAAUAUGUCUUCUGUAUUGAAUACAGUUAUCCAUCUCAUUAAAAAAUACACCAUUUGCACCAUUUGAUUUUUCCUAAUUAUAAGCAUUGAAUUUAUAGAAACUGAUCUUUUUUUUUUAAGUUUUUUUAAAUGUUUAUUUUUGAAAGAGAGAGAGAGAGAGAGAAAGACAACAGCAGUGGGGGAGGUGCAGAGAGAGAGGGAGACACAGAAUCUGAAGCAGGCUCCAGGCUCUGGGCUAUCAGCACAGAGCCUGACGUGGGGCUCGACCCCACAAACUCUGUGAUCAUGACCUGAACCGAAGUUGGAUGCUUAACCAACUGAGCCACCCAGGAGUCCCAGAAACUGAUCUCUUUGAGAGUAUAUAACUAGGAUCUUUUAAACUUGUAUCAUUGAAAAUAAUACAUAUGACCAGAUGAUAAAUUGCAGGGUUGUUUUUUUUUUUUAAUAGCUUAAAAAACGUUCUCAUGGCCGCUUGACAACCAGAAAAUAUCUCCUCCAGAUGCAAUAAAGAAUAUGAAACUUUCUGGCAACGUAUUACAUAGAACAGUGGCACUCUUUGUGUUAAAGUGCUAAUUUGAGAGAGAUUAUGUCAUUCUCUUAACUCUCUUUUCCUGCUUGACAAAUAAAAUCCUUGCUCAACUGACAUAAAUCAUGAAAUAAUUCACAUUUUACUCUGAAUUUAGUUUAGGAAUGAAGUCAGUAAAUACUGUCCACAUCAUGAAGUAUGUGUUAGAUAAUUAGCCUUCAGAGCAUUGCUUACUAUCAGGCCAGACCUCUCAUUCCUGAAGAAUUUGUCGCCACGUUUGAACAGCUAAUGUAUAUGAAAAGCAUGUUACUGUAAAUACACAGUUACUCAGUGCACAUUAUCCCAUCUAAUCCUCAUGACGGUGGUAUAGCUAGAGAGAUUCAUGGCCUGCCCCAGGAAAGACAGGCAGUAAAUGGCAAACCCAGGACUGCAUUCCAAGCGUCUCACUCGUCCAUUUAUUCAGCACAUAUUUACGGAGCACCUAGUAUGUGCUGAUCACGGACAACCCAGUAAAGAGCAAGACAGAAGGUUGGUCUCAUUUUUCAUGGACUUGACCUUCAAGUGGGAGUGACAUCAAAACUAACGAAACUAUCAUGAAUAUAAACUGAAGUGACUGGGCAGCUACUGUCUCCCUCUGAUGGGUCCCCUGCCCCCCAUCAGCUGGGUUGCUCCCAUACAGAAGCAGGCCACACAUACUGGGCACUUGUGCGAACCUAAUUGCAGGUGCGGCUCUGCGUGAACCCAGGGCAGAUGGAGCUGUGACUGGCCGCGCCCACACUUCCAGAUAAAGAUGCUCACUGUUGGGGCGCCUGGGUGGCUCGGUCCGUUAAGCAUCCGACUUCGGCUCAGGUCAUGAUCUCACGGUCCAUGAGUUCGAGCCCCGCGUCGGGCUCUGUGCUGACCCCUCAGAGCCUGGAACCUGUUUCGGAUUCUGUGUCUCCCUCUCUCUCUGCCCCUCCCCUGUUCAUGCUCUGUCUCUCUCUGUCUCAAAAAUAAAUAAACGUUAAAACUAAAAAAAAAAAAACAAA